rnacentral:rRNA from 1 species
UACAGAGGGUGCAAGCGUUAAUCGGAAUUACUGGGCGUAAAGCGUGCGUAGGCGGAUGCGUAAGUCAGAUGUGAAAGCCCCGGGCUCAACCUGGGAAUUGCAUUUGAGACUGCGUAGCUAGGGUGCGGAAGAGGGAAGCGGAAUUUCCGGUGUAGCGGUGAAAUGCGUAGAUAUCGGAAGGAACACCAGUGGCGAAAGCGGCUUCCUGGUCCAGCACCGACGUUCAGGCACGAAAGCGUGGGGAGCAAACAGG